rnacentral:tRNA from 1 species
GGGCCGGUAGCUCAGUGGUAGAGCACCUGACUUUUAAUCAGAGGGUCGCGGGUUCGAUCCCCGCCCGGCUCACCA